rnacentral:lncRNA from 1 species
CAUGAAAAUGGAGAUGUAGACAGGAUUUUUUAAAAGAUGUCAACUUUAUUGAGAAAUUCCUGGUGGAUCUUAAGUGAAUCUUCAAGCUCCUCCCUGAGUGCUCACCUCCAGAAAGGUAUGGCUUCCACUCCUACAGGUUUGUGAUUUC